UGCAGUCGAGCGGAUGACGGGAGCUUGCUCCUUGAUUCAGCGGCGGACGGGUGAGUAAUGCCUAGGAAUCUGCCUGGUAGUGGGGGACAACGUUUCGAAAGGAACGCUAAUACCGCAUACGUCCUACGGGAGAAAGCAGGGGACCUUCGGGCCUUGCGCUAUCAGAUGAGCCUAGGUCGGAUUAGCUAGUUGGUGGGGUAAUGGCUCACCAAGGCGACGAUCCGUAACUGGUCUGAGAGGAUGAUCAGUCACACUGGAACUGAGACACGGUCCAGACUCCUACGGGAGGCAGCAGUGGGGAAUAUUGGACAAUGGGCGAAAGCCUGAUCCAGCCAUGCCGCGUGUGUGAAGAAGGUCUUCGGAUUGUAAAGCACUUUAAGUUGGGAGGAAGGGCAGUAAGNUAAUACCUUGCUGUUUUGACGUUACCGACAGAAUAAGCACCGGCUAACUCUGUGCCAGCAGCCGCGGUAAUACAGAGGGUGCAAGCGUUAAUCGGAAUUACUGGGCGUAAAGCGCGCGUAGGUGGUUCGUUAAGUUGGAUGUGAAAGCCCCGGGCUCAACCUGGGAACUGCAUCCAAAACUGGCGAGCUAGAGUACGGUAGA
rnacentral:rRNA from 1 species